GGUGAAGAAGCCGGCCCCGAGGAGCGAGCGGUUAAUUAGCCGCUGGCUGCAUCGGUGAGGAUCCCGCCGUCCUCGGCGUGGCGAGCUGAAGAUGCGUUGCGAAACAGCCGCUGCUGUUGCCAGGCUUUUUUCUCGAGUUGCAAAAAUUUCUGUCAGUCAUACGCAACAAACCCCGAAAGUCGCAUAGCACCGGGCUUUGCAAUUCCCCCGCCGUCCUGGCAAGCACUAUAAAGGCAGCAACUGGCAGAGACGGGGUGAAUGAAAGCUGGGAUUAGUUUCCUGGUGUCAACUCGGAGGCAGACAAGGGAAGAGCAGGAUCCUUAGCUGCUUUGAACAGCUUUUCUGAGUCUGGGAUUCGUCUGCCUCCCCUCCCCGGUCUGAUUUGCUAAUCUUUCCAAAGGGAAACAGUUUUUAUAGUGUGACUUUGCCUUCCUUUGAGCGUAAGGCAGGAAUGGUCCUGACUGGACUUGCUCAUUCAGAGAGGUGUGUUGCUUAAUAGGGGAAACGGACUGCGAGCACAGAAAUACUCCAUGCAGCUUUAUGCUCAGGAGAAAGAUACCGCCCGCCUAAAACCUUCUGCUCGUCCUUUCCUCCUCCCCCACCUUUUCCAGCAUCUUUCACCUGCCUGUCUCUCCCUGACUCUUCUUCCCAAUUGCUUUCUCUUCUUCCUCCCCGGCCCCUGAAGUUUCAGGUGAAGGUGUGAGCAGCGCACACUCCUGCGUGAGUCCGACCAAGCUCUUUUCUAAAGCAGUGCACCCGAAACGAUUCAAUUUCUCUCCCUCCCUCGGGACCCAGCAAAUCCUCUAUCCUAACUGAAACCAGGACACUAACACAGCACCGUGAAAAGGUGUCAUCUGCCGGCAGCUGGAAGAAUUAGUCAGUAGCGUAACUAAGGGGGACUUUCCGAAGGAUCAGUCCAUCACUGGCAGCAGCAGUGGCAGUAGCUGUGGCAGCCGCCGCACAAGGCUGGUAUUCUCGUACCUCUCAGCGCUGGAACACCAGGAGCUGGAAAAUUACAGAGCCAACUGUAAAAUUCCACCAGCAGCGACUCCAGCCUGCAGGGUGGUUUCCCUCCGUGUGCCCGGCUGUGGAAACCGCUGUGGCACCGCAGAACCACCUCCCAGCACAGCAGCCAGGAGGUUUCAUCGAGUCAAGAAAUUAAGCGCUCUGGUGAUAUUAAGAUGCCUGGAAGUGCUACCAAGGGCAGCAGAAGAAAGCACCUGUUCUGCUGUGUGUAUUUUGGGGACAGAAGGAGCAAUGAAUAUUCCUUCAAGUUUAAAGCUUCCUUAAUGAACUGCCUGGACUAGCAGAACUGCAUACGCACAACACACAGUAAAGAAGGACCGAAGUGGCAUUUUAGGAAUGGUAUGAGUCACCCCGGAGAGCUGCAGGUAUUUGUUCAAGAGGGAGACUCCAUUCCACCGCUCGUCCUCCUCUUCCCUCCCUCCCCGCAUCAACAAGGAAUGAAAUAAAGGAAUUCAGCCUUGA